rfam:Ornithorhynchus anatinus chromosome X1, whole genome shotgun sequence.
CCCCUCUCAGGAUGGCACCUGGAGAGCUUCCAGUCCUCUACCAGUCUCGCCUACAGGAGGGAAAGUCAAGCAGAGGCCUAUCCAUUCCAUUCCUAGCUUGGGCAGUGGCUGGCGGGUGGAAGGCCAUCUGCUUCAAGU